UUUCGACAGGAUCCUCGGCGAAUACGGAGCUAUCAAGACCUAGAUGCUCCAGAAGAUGAAGUCACUGUUAUAGACUACAGGAGUUUGUAGGUGUCACGGUUGGAAGGAUGGUAAGGCUUUCAAAUCUGCAGAUUUAUUUUUUCUUUCUACAGGGAAGGCAAUUCCUGUCUAUAUCCAACUGUGGAAGAAAUCACCUUGUAUUUAGAUCUUUUGGGGUUUGAACUGUCGGAUCUUAGUGAUAAUUUAACACUGCCUGCUGUGAUAUCACCUCGGAUUGUUUUAAGAGAUGCCAAGCAGUCCUGAUUUUUUCACC
rnacentral:misc_RNA from 1 species